GCCCGUCCCAUGUCCAAUGAAGGGGCGGCUCCUCAUGCAGUCUUCAGGAGGGACCUGGUCGGACCUGCGCAUGCGUCGUGGGUUUGAGCGGGAAGUGCUCUGGGCGUCGAAGGAGGAAGGUGGAGUUCAUGCUGGAGUUCACAGGGGAAGUCGUAGGAUAGACUUAGAAGAAGGCAAUUCAUUCUCUAGAAGCUACCAUGGCUACUGCUCAGCUCUUUCACUCGACUGAAACCUACAAGGCCACCAAGGAAAAGGCUCUGUUCCCAUCUCAAAUCACCACGGAACACGAGUCCCUAGUAUUGGUGAAGAAGCUUUUAGCCACUUCCGUGUCGUGUAUUACGUACCUGAGAGGACUGUUUCCCGAGAGUUCUUAUGGAACGCGCUGUUUAGAUGACCUCAGUUUAAAAAUCCUUCGAGAAGAUAAGAAAUGCCCUGGGUCUCUGCAGAUUAUCAAAUGGAUUCAAGGUUGUUUUGAUGCUUUGGAAAAGAAAUAUCUUCACAUGGCAGUACUUGCAAUUUAUACCAACCCCAAGGAGCCAGAGAAAGUCACUGAAUUGUACCAGUUCAAAUUCCAAUACACAAAGGAAGGACCCAAAAUGGAUUUUGUCAGCUCUACUACCAGCUUUGAGAGUGGGACAACUAGUGAGGAAAUAAAGAAAGCGAGCAUCCUUCUCAUCCGCAAAUUGUAUCUGCUGAUGCAGAAUCUUGGACCUCUUCCCAAUGACAUUACACUGACCAUGAAACUCUUCUACUACAAUGAAGUGACACCAAAUGAAUACCAGCCCCCUGGUUUUAAGGAAGGGGAGAGUGCCCAAACUUUCCUGUUUGAGGGAAAUCCUGUCAGCUUGAAGCUAGGCUUUGUUUCCACUCAUUUUCACAAUGUAAAGGUGAAAAUCAUGACUGAGAGCCAGCGGAUGAUGAAUUUGGGCAGCAAUAUUCUUCAGGAGAAUAGCAUUACUGAGAUCUCCCACCAAGGCCUAGACUGUGAUGAAGAGGAUGACGAAGGCAGUGUUAGUCAACUCCUGACAAAGAUGCCUGCAGUCAGCCUCGGUGACAGGAAGAGGGCGCCCUUACCUUCCUUUUCUGAUUCUUCAACCUCCUCAAAAGGGAUGAGGAAAGGGAGCCCCAGUUUCGAGUUGGAAGGAAACUCUGAAGCCAUCUGGACCAAUCAUCCCAUUUUACAGACAGUGAAGAGGAAGAGAAAUCAGGCAAAGGACAAGGAAGACAGCAGCAGAUGCAUAACUGGACCGACUCCAUGGAUUGCCCACAUGCUGGGCUCGUGCCCUUGCCUUGGCUUCUGCUUUAUUUGCUACUAUUUCCCGCUAGUAGCUUCCUUUGUUUCCUCCAGCCCCUUCCCAGAGGGAAGCUAAGGCACAGCCCUUCUGUCAGGGGUUCCUCCUAGACCCCUGCCUCCCUGGAGGAGUGGACAUGUCAGGAAGGUACCAACAAGGUUUUCCAUCCAGCUGACCUUUGGGGUACAUAACCCCCUUCACCCCAAGGGGGACUUAGUCAUUCAGUGCAUGAGAUAGAAUCUUUGAGAACCGUCUAAAGGUCAACCCUUGAUGAAGGCUUUAAUAAAGAAGAAGCAGGAUUCCAUAAAUGGUAUUCAACAAUGGAGCAUAUCUACAUCAUCUCAUAAUUACCAGGAAUACACUGAGACUCUAAGCUCCCUUAGAUCUGAGGGUUUGUUGCUUAUAUUAUUCCUCAACUCAGAACAAAACGCUGCCUCACAGGCUCUUUAACAGCCAAGUAUCUCCCAUCCAUACCUCAAGACUUUUCAGGAUUCCUUGAAAGAUAGAAUAAAUAGCCCUGUUAAGUAGCCCUCUGGUGAUAAACGUGGGAUGAGGGAUAAAACAGGAAAAGGUUGGCUCACCAGAGGCAUUCUGCCAUAGUGAUAGAGGAGACUAUCAUAGUGUAGAGGCCAAACUUGGGAAGGAUUCCCUGGAGAGGGGAAGGUUGUCCAGAUUCUCCUGUUUGUGGAUGACACUCUGCUGGCUAAAUCAAGUCCCAAGACAUUCAAGACCCUUCUGGGAGAGCUCUGUGGUCACACAAAGCAUUCUGACCUGUCCAUCCACACAAGAAAGGCCAACAGGGUGCAGAAUGUCUAUUGCCCAGAUUAUACCAUUCAUCUGAAGGCACAUUGUCUGGAGCUGCUCCAACAGCAUAGAAAUCUGGGACAGCCAGUGCAUAGAUGAAAAAGGAGCACUUUAUUGCCUUUGUGAUCUGGUUUUUUGCUUUAAAAAUAGGGGGUGAGAACCAAAUCCCACCUCCUUUACCCCGUGUUCUCCCUAAAGAGUCUCCUCCUGUCUUCACAGUCUCCAAAUCCUUCUACUUAGACAUAUUUAAGCUGUGAAGAGAAAUAAUAAUCGAUGGUAUUC